GAUGAACGCUGGCGGCGUGCUUAACACAUGCAAGUCGAACGAUGAAGCCCAGCUUGCUGGGUGGAUUAGUGGCGAACGGGUGAGUAACACGUGAGUAACCUGCCCUUAACUCUGGGAUAAGCCUGGGAAACUGGGUCUAAUACCGGAUAGGAGCGUCCACCGCAUGGUGGGUGUUGGAAAGAUUUAUCGGUUUUGGAUGGAUUCGCGGCCUAUCAGCUUGUUGGUGAGGUAAUGGCUCACCAAGGCGACGACGGGUAGCCGGCCUGGGAGGGUGACCGGCCACACUGGGACUGAGAGACGGCCCAGACUCCUACGGGAGGCAGCAGUGGGGAAUAUUGCACAAUGGGCGCAAGCCUGAGGCAGCGACGCCGCGUGAGGGAUGACGGCCUUCGGGUUGUAAACCUCUUUCAGUAGGGAAGAAGCGAAAGUGACGGUACCUGCAGAAGAAGCACCGGCUAACUACGUG
rnacentral:rRNA from 1 species